rnacentral:rRNA from 1 species
GGAAUAUUGCACAAUGGGCGCAAGCCUGAUGCAGCAACGCCGCGUGAGGGAAGACGGUUUUCGGAUUGUAAACCUCUGUCUUUGGUGACGAAGAAGUGACGGUAGCCAAGGAGGAAGCCACGGCUAACUACGUGCCAGCAGCCGCGGUAAUACGUAGGUGGCAAGCGUUAUCCGGAAUUACUGGGUGUAAAGGGAGCGCAGGCGGGUCAGCAAGUCAGCGGUGAAAAUUAUGGGCUCAACCCAUAAACUGCCGUUGAAACUGUUGAUCUUGAGUGGAGUAGAGGCAGGCGGAAUUCCGAGUGUAGCGGUGAAAUGCGUAGAUAUUCGGAGGAACACCAGUGGCGAAGGCGGCCUGCUGGGCUCUAACUGACGCUGAGGCUCGAAAGUGUGGGGAGCAAACA